AUUGAACGCUGGCGGCAGGCCUAACACAUGCAAGUCGAACGAGUGGCGGACGGGUGAGUAAUGUCUGGGAAACUGCCCGAUGGAGGGGGAUAACUACUGGAAACGGUAGCUAAUACCGCAUACCAUCGGAUGUGCCCAGAUGGGAUUAGCUAGUGGGUGGGGUAAAGGCUCACCUAGGCGACGAUCCCUAGCUGGUCUGAGAGGAUGACCAGCCACACUGGAACUGAGACACGGUCCAGAAUCCUACGGGAGGCAGCAGUGGGGAAUAUGGGACAAUGGGCGCAAGCCUGAUUCAGCCAUGCCGCGUGGAUGAAGAAGGCCUUCGGGUUGUAAAGUACUUUCGGCGGGGAAGCGGUACCCACAGAAGAAGCACCGGCUAACUCCGUGCCAGCAGCCGCGGUAAUAC
rnacentral:rRNA from 1 species